GACGGAGGAUGCAAGCGUUAUCCGGAAUGAUUGGGCGUAAAGCGUCCGCAGGUGGCAGUUCAAGUCUGCUGUCAAAGACCGGGGCUUAACUUCGGAAAGGCAGUGGAAACUGAACAGCUAGAGUAUGGUAGGGGCAGAGGGAAUUCCUGGUGUAGCGGUGAAAUGCGUAGAGAUCAGGAAGAACACCCGUGGCUAAGGCGGCUCUCUAGUACGGUACUGACGCUGAGACGCGAAAGCGUGGGGAGCGAACAGG
rnacentral:rRNA from 1 species